AGAGUUUGAUCCUGGCUCAGGACGAACGCUGGCGGCGUGCUUAACACAUGCAAGUCGAACGGAAAGGCCCUUUCGGGGGUGCUCGAGUGGCGAACGGGUGAGUAACACGUGGGUGAUCUGCCCUGCACUUCGGGAUAAGCCUGGGAAACUGGGUCUAAUACCGGAUAGGACUACGAAUCGCAUGGUUUGUGGUGGAAAGCUUUUGCGGUGUGGGAUGGGCCCGCGGCCUAUCAGCUUGUUGGUGGGGUGAUGGCCUACCAAGGCGACGACGGGUAGCCGGCCUGAGAGGGUGUCCGGCCACACUGGGACUGAGAUACGGCCCAGACUCCUACGGGAGGCAGCAGUGGGGAAUAUUGCACAAUGGGCGCAAGCCUGACGCAGCGACGCCGCGUGAGGGAUGACGGCCUUCGGGUUG
rnacentral:rRNA from 1 species